rnacentral:rRNA from 1 species
UACGUAGGGAGCAAGCGUUGUCCGGAAUCAUUGGGCGUAAAGCGCACGUAGGCGGAUUGCUAAGUCAGGGGUGAAAUCCUGGAGCUCAACUCCAGAACUGCCCUUGAUACUGGCGGUCUCGAGUCCGGGAGAGGUGAGUGGAACUGCGAGUGUAGAGGUGAAAUUCGUAGAUAUUCGCAAGAACACCAGUGGCGAAGGCGGCUCACUGGCCCGGUACUGACGCUGAGGUGCGAAAGCGUGGGGAGCAAACAGG